rnacentral:rRNA from 1 species
AUGCCCUUUGGGGUCACUAAUGGACCACCAACCUUCCAAGGAGUGGUGAAUCAACUCUUUGAACCUGAUCUUCGCCACGGUGUGCUUGUGUUUGUUGAUGAUGUGUUAGUUUACAACAAAACAAAAGAAGAACAUUUGCAACAGCUCCGACGGGUCUUUGAGGUACUGAAACAAAAUCAGUUUUUCUUGAAGCGAAGCAAAUGUUCUUUCAUGCAACAAGAACUCGAAUAUUUGGGGCACGUGGUGAGUGAAAAAGGGGUGGAAACCGGUACGGCCAAAGUCCAAGCAGUGAAGAAUUGGCCUUGCCCGAGAUCGUCCAAGGCAUUGCGUGGAUUUCUAGGUUUAACUGGGUACUACCGCAAGUUUGUACAGCAUUACGGCAUCCUGGCACGACCAUUGACUCAACUUCUGAAGAAACACGUUCCAUUUCAAUGGGGUCCCGACCAGCAAACUGCUUUUGAACUGCUCAAGCAAGCUAUGAUCAAGGCACCAGUUUUAGCCAUUCCGGAUUUUGGGGUACAGUUUGUGUUGGAAACGGAUGCAUGCAACACGGGCAUCGGAGCAGUCCUCAUGCAGAAAGAGCACCCAGUGGCAUAUCUCAGUACGGCCUUGUGCACUCGAAGUCAAGCCCUGUCUACCUAUGAGAAGGAGUGUCUUGCCAUCAUCUACGCCAUAGACAAAUGGCGCCCUUACUUGCAACAUGCUGAGUUCAUCAUCCGCACGGAUCAUCGUAGUCUGUUGCACCUUGGAGAACAACGUUUGCACACUGGUGUCCAACACAAGGCUUUUGUCAAGCUCAUGGGUUUGCAAUAUAAGAUUCAGUUCAAACAAGGUGUGGCCAAUCAAGCAGCAGAUGCACUGUCUCGGCAACACGAGGACACCGGAGUGAUGGCUAUUUCUUCAGCGACCCCAGCAUGGAUGGACAAUCUUCAACAGGGUUACACGGAUGAUCCGCAUGCUUCUCAACUCAUAGCUGAGUUAAGCGCAUCACCGCCAGGCAUGGGGAAGGGUGAAUUUUCCCUCCGAGAUGGUCUUCUUCGCUUCAAAGGCCGUAUUUGGGUUGGAGCCAACCCCUUGGCUCAGAACCACAUUAUGCAAGCUCUGCAUUCCAGUGGCAUCGGGGGACAUUCUGGAAUCUAUGCCACUUAUCAUCGUAUCAAACAACUGUUUGCAUGGACCAAAAUGAAGCAGGAUGUCAAACGAUUUGUGGCGGAAUGUCAGACCUGUCAGCGUGCCAAACCUAAACAUGUCAAGACACCCGGUUUGCUUCAGCCUUGCCCAUUCCCAAAAGGCCAUGGGAGGUGGUCAGCCUUGAUUUCAUUGAAGGGUUACCCAAAUCACACCGGCACGACAUAA